UGAAUACGAGACGCUAAGGCGUCGAAGUAGUGUAUGUCAUACUUCCAAGAAAAGCUUGCACUGUCAUAGAUAAAAAACGCCUGUACCAUAACCGACACAGGUGGGUAGGUAGAGUAUACUAAGGGGCGCGAGAUAACUCUCUCUAAGGAACUCGGCAAAAUAACUCCGUAACUUCGGGAGAAGGAGUGCCUUAUUCGUAAGGUUGCAAUAACAAGAUCCAAGCAACUGUUUAUCAAAAACACAGGUCUCCGCUAAGUCGUAAGACGAUGUAUGGGGGCUGACGCCUGCCCAGUGCCAGAAGGUUAAAGAAGUUGGUUAGCAAUUGCGAAGCUGAUAACUGAAGCCCUGGUGAACGGCGGCCGUAACAAUAACGGUCCUAAGGUAGCGAGAUUCCUUGUCGGGUAAGUUCCACCCGCACGAAAGGCGUAAUGAUUUGGAUACUGUCUCGGAGAGGGGCUCGGUGAAAUAGACUUGUCUGUGAAGAUGCGGACUACCUGCACCAGGACAGAAAGACCCUAUGGAGCUUUACUGUAACUUGAAAUUGAAAUUGGACUUUAUUCGCGCAGCAUAGGUGGGAGGCGUUGAUUAUAAUCUUGCGGGAUUAUUGGAGCCAUCAGUGAGAUACCACUCUUGUAAUGUUAGAUUUCUAACUUUGAAUCAUUAUCUGGUCAAAGAACAGUUUCAGGCGGGCAGUUUGACUGGGGCGGUCGCCUCCUAAACGGUAACGGAGGCGUACAAAGGUUUCCUCUGAACGGUUAGAAAUCGUAUCUAGAGUGUAAAGGCAUAAGGAAGCUUGACUGUGAGACCUACAAGUCGAGCAGGGACGAAAGUCGGUCUUAGUGAUCUAACGGUACUGAGUGGAAAGGCCGUCACUCAACGGAUAAAAGUUACUCUAGGAUAACAGGCUGAUCUCCCCCAAGAGUUCACAUCGACGGGGAGGUUUGGCACCUCGAUGUCGGCUCAUCGCAUCCUGGGGCGGUAGUACGUCCCAAGGGUUGGGCUGUUCGCCCAUGAAAGCGGUACGCGAGCUGGGUUCAGAACGUCGUGAGACAGUUCGGUCCAUAUCCGGUGUAGGCGUUAGAAUAUUGAGAGGAGCCUUCUUUAGUACGAGAGGACCGAGAAGGACAUACCUCUGGUGUACCAGUUAUCGUGCCAACGGUAAACGCUGGGUAGCUAUGUAUGGAGUGGAUAACCGCUGAAAGCAUCUAAGUGGGAAGCCCACCUCAAGAUAAGUAUUCUCA
rnacentral:rRNA from 1 species